rnacentral:piRNA from 1 species
UACCGGCCCAGCAGUGAGGAGCAGG